AACAUUUAUGAUUGGUAAAAGUGUGUGAUGUAGUUUUAUAUUUGUACUAACCGGCCUAUAAUCUGUUUUCCAGUAUUGGAGUGUUUACCUGUGAUGACAGUCUCUCACAGCCACAUGUACAACAGCCUUGGACUCUCUUCUCCUCUCCUCGGGGCAUCUGGUGUGGACCUUAAUCCCAGCGUAGCCUGAUGGUUGAGUGUGCCCAAGCAGACUGGAGCUAAUCUGCUGGAGAGAGAGAGAGAAAAAAGAGCCUGUCCGUGCUUGCUGUUAACACGUCUCGUUCCUGCUCAACUCUGGGAGCUGUGCAGGGUGACCUGGGUUAAUUGCAGCUGCAGAGAUGAACAGCCUGGGUCACCUUCGCUACGGAAGAGACGGGGGAAAAAUGAGGCACACUUUGUACCUGAAGUGGAGUCGGCAGAGAUUGGCCCUCCUUCAGCUUAUCUCUCUGGGUUUCUCCACACCCUUCCUCUGCUCGCCUGUGCUGGUCACAUGCUUGACCUGCUCGACUGGCCUGAACCGCACCUGUCCCACAUACCUGCUUCACACCUGCACUGUACCCAAUGACACUUUAGUGUUGAUGAUCACAUGACCUGCAGACCCUGCCUCUCUGAAUGCACCUUCCUCUUUCCCUCUUCUGGAUUGGCUGACGUUGCCAUCGGAUCUAAGGCUGAUUGACGGGCAGUGCGGCAUGAAGGAGAGGGUCAGGGGUGACCCUGGGGCAGCAGCGGGGGCCCGGGUGACUGACGCUGGCUCUCCCUGUCCUCCGGGCUCAGGGAUUGAAUGUCAGUUUCUCUAAUAACGGGUUAUAGUGAAAAGGUCAGCUCCAGUCGUCUGACCAUGAGAACGGAGAGAAAAAGAGAGAUGAACGCAAUGCCAGCGGCGGAAAUUGAUUGUCUGGCAGGGCGAAAGGAAAUGAAGAGAAAAAGAAAAAUGGAAGGCCGCACCUGAAAGAGGACUUCCUAUACGCACAGCAUCGCCACUAAAUCUCUGCUAAAUAAAAGCAGGAACGUCCGGCGAAUACCAAAUUGGCCCGCGCGGAGCUGCAGUGGAGGCCGCCAAACUCUGUAUGGGUAACAGCUUUUGGCAUGUGUACUGAUAUUAUGCACCGAUAUUAUUUGGGGAAAAUUGCUUUUGUUAAAAUAUGUCAGGAGGAACUUCAGGGCAUUUUCUAUCGAUUUUCUUCUUUGAUAGUGUAUG